rnacentral:rRNA from 1 species
UACGGAGGGUGCAAGCGUUAAUCAGAAUUACUGGGCGUAAAGCGCACGCAGGUGGCUGAGUCAGUCGAUUGUGAAAGCCCUGGGCUUAACCUGGGAAUUGCAGUCGAUACUACUCAGCUAGAGUAUGGGAGAGGGCAGUGGAAUUCCCGGUGUAGCGGUGAAAUGCGUAGAUAUCGGGAGGAACAUCAGUGGCGAAGGCGGCUGCCUGGCCCAAUACUGACACUCAGGUGCGACAGCGUGGGGAGCAAACAGG